UACGUAGGGGGCUAGCGUUGUCCGGAUUUAUUGGGCGUAAAGAGCGUGUAGGCGGCCAUGUAGGUCCGGUGUGAAAACUCGAGGCUUAACCUCGAGAUGUCAUCGGAAACCAUUUGGCUAGAGUCCGGAAGAGGAGAGUGGAAUUCCUGGUGUAGCGGUGAAAUGCGCAGAUAUCAGGAAGAACACCAAUGGCGAAGGCAGCUCUCUGGGACGGUACUGACGCUGAGACGCGAAAAGCGUGGGGAGCGAACAGG
rnacentral:rRNA from 1 species